UACGUAGGGGGCAAGCGCUGUCCGGAAUCAUUGGGCGUAAAGAGCGUGUAGGCGGUCCGGUAAGUCGGUUGUGAAAGUCCAGGGCUCAACCCUGGGAUGCCGAUCGAUACUGCCGGACUAGAGUCCGGAAGAGGCGAGUGGAAUCCCGGUGUAGCGGUGAAAUGCGCAGAUAUCGGGAGGAACACCAAUGGCGAAGGCAGGUCUCUGGGCAUUAACGUGACGCUGAGGAGGCGAAAGCAUGGGGGAGCCGA
rnacentral:rRNA from 1 species